rnacentral:rRNA from 1 species
AAGUGGGAUGACGUCAAGUCCUCAUGGCCUUUAUGUCUAGGGCUACACACGUGCUACAAUGGGUGGUACAAAGAGCAGCUAACUCGCGAGAGUAUGCAAAUCUCAAAAAGCCAUCCUCAGUUCGGAUUGGAGUCUGCAACUCGACUCCAUGAAGUUGGAAUCGCUAGUAAUCGCGGAUCAGCAUGCCGCGGUGAAUACGUUCCCGGGCCUU